rnacentral:rRNA from 1 species
AGGGAAUUUUCCGCAAUGGGCGAAAGCCUGACGGAGCAACGCCGCGUGAGUGAAGACGGCCUUCGGGUUGUAAAGCUCUGUUCUUGGGGAAGAAAAAAAUGACGGUACCCAAGGAGAAAGCCCCGGCUAACUACGUGCCAGCAGCCGCGGUAAUACGUAGGGGGCGAGCGUUAUCCGGAUUUAUUGGGCGUAAAGCGCGCGCAGGCGGUCAGGUAAGUCGGAUGUGAAAGGCUACGGCUCAACCGUAGAGCGGCAUCCGAAACUGUUUGACUUGAGUGCAGGAGAGGAGAGUGGAAUUCCCGGUGUAGCGGUGGAAUGCGUAGAGAUCGGGAGGAACACCAGUGGCGAAGGCGACUCUCUGGACUGUAACUGACGCUGAGGCGCGAAAGCGUGGGGAGCAAAC